CGUAGGUGCGAGCGUUGUCCGGAAUUAUUGGGCGUAAAAGGGCUCGUAGGCGGUUUGUCGCGUCGGGAGUGAAAACACUGGGCUUAACCGAGUGCUUGCUUUCGAUACGGGCAGACUUGAGGCAUUGAGGGGAGAACGGAUUCCUGGUGUAGCGGUGAAAAUGCGCAGAUAUCAGGAGGAACACCGGUGGCGAAGGCGGUUCUCUGGCAAUGUUCUGACGCUGAGAGCGAAAAGUGUGGGGAGCGAACAGGAUU
rnacentral:rRNA from 1 species